AUCCUUUUGUAGUUCAUGAGCAUGAUGAUUGGGUAUUCAUCCAUGUUUGUGAGAUGUUGCACCCUUGAACCUUGUUAUGACAUCAGCACAUUACCCAUCUGACC
ensembl:snoRNA SNORD13E small nucleolar RNA, C/D box 13E